ensembl:misc_RNA 7SK 7SK RNA
GGAUGUGAGGGUGAUCUGACUGUGACAUCUGCCACCCUGUUGAUGGCCAGGGUUGAGUUGGCUGAUCUGGCUGGCUAGGUGGGUGUCCCCUUCCUCCCUCACCAACCCAUGUGUGUUCUGAAGUUGUGUGGUGGGAAAAGAGGUCAACUUUCUCCAGUAGAGACCAACCCAUCUCAGGUCCAGGGUAUAAAUUAGCUACACUGCCAUGCUAGAACCUCCAAACAAGUUCUCAAGGUCCAUAAGGGGUAGGGGGAAGGGGUUGACCAGUUAGGGCAUAAUGGAACUCUCUGGAACGAUGAUAGCAAUGUGGGUUACAUGCUUGUAUGC